ACGUGGAUAAGGCAUUCUAUUUGUGGAUUUUGCCAAAAUAAUCACUUUAUCCACGGAG
rnacentral:pre_miRNA from 1 species